AAAAUGCGAUAAGUAAUGUGAAUUGCAGAAUUCAGUGAAUCAUCGAAUCUUUGAACGCACAUUGCGCCCGCCAGUAUUCUGGCGGGCAUGCCUGUUCGAGCGUCAUUUCAACCCUCAAGCCCCCGGGUUUGGUGUUGGGGAUCGGGCUGUGGUUCUCCGCGUCCCGGCCCCGAAAUCUAGUGGCGGUCUCGCUGCAGCCUCCAUUGCGUAGUAGCUAACACCUCGCAACUGGAACGCGGCGCGGCCAAGCCGUUAAACCCCCAACUUCUGAAUGUUGACCUCGGAUCAGGUAGGAAUACCCGCUGAACUUAAGC
rnacentral:misc_RNA from 1 species